rnacentral:rRNA from 1 species
AGAGUUUGAUCAUGGCUCAGGACGAACGCUGGCGGCGCGCUUAACACAUGCAAGUCGAGCGAGAACCGGGGCUUCGGCCCCGGGGACAGCGGCGAACGGGUGAGUAACACGUGGAUAACCUGCCCUCGGCACCGGGAUAGCCCGGGGAAACCCGGAUUAAUACCGGAUGGCCCUUCCGACCUGCGGGUCGGUCGGGAAAGGUAGCUUCGGCCUCCGGCCGAGGAUGAGUCCGCGGCGGAUUAGCUUGUUGGUGGGGUAACGGCCCACCAAGGCGACGAUCCGUAGCUGGUCUGAGAGGACGAUCAGCCACACUGGGACUGAGACACGGCCCAGACUCCUACGGGAGGCAGCAGUGCGGAAUCUUGCCCAAUGGGCGAAAGCCUGAGGCAGCGACGCCGCGUGAGGGAAGAAGGCCUUCGGGUUGUAAACCUCUUUCAGGGGGGACGAAGCUACUCGGGUGAAUAGCCCAGAGGGUGACGGUACCUCCAGAAGAAGCCCCGGCUAACUACGUGCCAGCAGCCGCGGUAAUACGUAGGGGGCAAGCGUUGUCCAGAUUUACUGGGCGUAAAGAGCGUGUAGGCGGCCAGACAGGUCUGUUGUGAAAACUGGAGGCUCAACCUCCAGACGUCGACAGAAACCGUCUGGCUAGAGUCCGGAAGAGGAGAGUGGAAUUCCUGGUGUAGCGGUGAAAUGCGCAGAUAUCA